UUUCCGUAGGUGAACCUGGGGAAGGACCAUUAUUGUAUAACCGAGGUGCGAGGGCUGUCGCUGACCCGAAAGGUCGUGCACGCCCGAGGGCCCUCACACACAUCCAUCUAACCCCUCUGUGCACCACCGCGUGGGUCCCCCUUUGGCUUGUUCGGAGGGGGGCUUACGUUUUCACACAAACUUUGUAUGCAGUGUAGAAUGUAUUUUUUGUUUUUGCGAUCACGCAAUCAAUACAACUUUCAACAACGGAUCUCUUGGCUCUC
rnacentral:misc_RNA from 1 species